rnacentral:lncRNA from 1 species
UGGGGUGGGGGUGACACUGUUCUACUACAUUCUGGCAUCAGACGCCUGUCUUCAAGAGUGAAGCCACUCUGCCACUAUCUAAAACUAUGUUCUGUUUAUUAUUUUUGAAAGAGGUUUUUAAAAGCAUGUUCUGAUAAGCUUGGAUUUAUCCUUGGAAAGGGAAUUUGGGUUCUGUUAUAAGACAGUAGCUUAGUGUCAGAUGCAGGUUGUAUCAAUUAUGUGUAGCUAUUAGUAAAUAGCAGAUAAAAGAAGCUAGGAGAUGUUCCUAAAAGGGUGGGUGGGGGAAAAGAAAAACAAACAUGUUUUCUCUGCCUACAGAAAAUGAACCAGUGGGGCAGAGGUGCAUGCCUGUAAUCCCAGAGACUUGUGAGGCCAAAGCAGGAGGAUGACAAAUUUGAGGCCAGCCUGGGCAACUUAGUGAGACCUGGUUUCAAAAUAAAGCAAGCAAGCAAGUAAACAAAAAAGGCAGAGAUGUAGUUCAGUGGUAGAGCACUUGUCUAGCAUGUACAAAACUCUAGAUUUGAUCCCAGUGACACACAUAUACACACACAUACACAAAAUGAAAACAGCUAGCAAACAACUAGAAACAGAAGAUAGAAGUUAUCCUUCCCCAAAUGGAUAUCAGCCAAACAGAGUAAAUAAUUUGAUGAUGAUGAUAACAGCAAUUAAACAAUAAGGUAGCAAGUGUUAGGUCCUUAGGCCAAAGUAACUCCAUUUUGAAAAUCAGCACAUGCCCACCCAGUCAUGACCUAGGAAACAAACAAACAAACAAAAACGAAAAACCAACAACAAGAGUGUUGAUCUCAAGCUAUGCUUCAGCCUCAAAGAACACGUUUAUGAUCCAAGGGAUUUUAACUACAAUAAUAAGACUUUAGGGUGAGUGGAACAAAUAAAACCAGAACAAAAAAAUUAAGAUUAGAUUAAGAUGUGAUUGAGGAUGUUUAAUAAUUAGUGAGAAAGAUACAAAAAUUGUACCUAUUCUUUCACUACCUUCACUCCUUUAAAAUUUUUAAAAAAUCAAGAGCCGUCUGUAUUGUAAAAAUAAAAUAAAAAUACAGGUGCUGAGUAUUGAAUCCAGAGACCCGUGCAUGCCAGGCGAGCGCGCUUGAGCCACAUCCCCAGCCCACUACCUUCACUCUUGAUCUAAUCAUCCAUAAAACAAAACAAAACAAACACACACACUCUCUCUCUCUCUCUCUCUCUCUCUCUCUCUCUCUCUCUCUCUCUCUCUCUCUCACACACACACACACACACACACACACACACAGAGUUAAGGGCCGCAUUCUUAUGUAAAUAUACAACAGAGCCAAAGAAUCUGUAGUGUUCUGUUUGGUUCAUACUUGGGAUGCUUGGCCAGAAGGGCCAUCUAUUCCUUGAGUGUAUUGUAGGGUGAAGAAUGCAAGGGACUUCCCAGACAUUACCAGUGGGAAGCCAGAGCUACAAGAGGGCAGUACAAGUUAUGUUCUGCUUUGUCUUAGAUUUAACAGAGGUGUUGCUAGACGUUUACAAUAGAUGCUUCUAUUUUGCAGAUGAGAAAACAUAAUCAAAACCAGAGAAAGAACAGAGUCACGAUUCCCAAACUGUACUAAGGUUCCUGAGAAAUCACAGCAAAUUUCACAGGAAUCUCAGGGAGACCCAGGAGUCCAGGGAAAGAGGAAUUCUUGAUACCUGCUGAAAAUCAAAUGAACUCCUAGCUCAAGGUGGCUCAUAAUUUCAACAUGAGUAUUCCCCAGUUGUUAUAGAAUGCAAGUACCAAGCAGAAUUCAGUGUGGAACCAGACCGCACAGGUUCCAAGACUUGAGAAAAUAUUCAGUAACCAAGUGGCACACACAUCCUUUCCUAAGUAACUGGAAUUAUUUAAGAAUAAAAUAAAAAACACUUUUUUCUUUCGAUUUAUGUGGAUUAUUAUUUUUUCAAAUAGCUCAGUUGUGGGAUUUAACUACCGGAUAAAUGAAAUUUCUGUUAGGUGUUUCUUUUGGCCCACGUCUCUGUGGGAAAAUUAUAGGGACAAUAAAAUGCUGUGAAUUAGGAAGUUUGGGAACUCUGGAGCAGAGUAAUUUGAAUUGUAUCCAAUGGAGCAAAGAUGGAUUUAACGGUUCAGGCUCAGAAUAAAAAAGCAGUAAGAUCCUCCCUUCCCCAUGCCAGCCAGGUCACUGAUCCCAGUAUUUUCCUCAGUUCCCACAUAAAAUAAGCAUUCUUAGUAUGAUUCUUUUUUUUUUAUUAAUGCAACUAUUGGAUAGGCUAUUUUUUCCACACUAUUAUUACAUUAUAGUUGUACAUAAUGGUGGAAUUUGUUGUUACAUAUUUGUACAUGUACACAAUAUAACAAUAUAAUCUGUUUAAUAUCAUUCCUCAGUAUUUGUCUUCUCCCUUUUCUGGUCCCUUUCUUCUAUUCUAUUGAUGCCCCUUUGAUUUUCAUAAGAUCUCCCUGCCCCCCACCCCAUUCUUUUCCUUUUCCUAUCUUCCAUAUAUGAGAGAAAACAUCCUUGGUAGGCUAUUAAAAGUUAUCUUGCAUAAUGCUUCCCAAAUUAUCUCCAGUGAAAGCCUUUUUUGUUUGUUUGUUUCUAAUCUAUCAUGGGCUAGGUGAUGGUUAAUUUUAUGUGUCAACUUGGCUGGGCCUUGAUAACCAGAUAUUAGUUCAAAUAUUAUUCUGGAUGUUUUUGAGAAUGUAUUUUUGGGAUGAGAUUAACAUUUAAAUCAGUAGACUUUGAGUAAAGCAGACUACUUUCUCUCAUAUGGGUGGGUCUCAUCUAAUCAGUUGAAUAUUUUAGUACAACAAAGACAUCGCCCCCGAGCAAGAAGAAAUUCUGCAAGCAGAUUGUAUUUGGACUCUGCAUCUCUUUAUUGAAUCUACAGCCUACUGGCCUACCCCUUCAGAUUCUGGACUCACUAAGCCUCCUCAAUUGUAUGAGCCAAUUCCUUAAAAUAAAUCUCUGUUUUUCUCUCUUUAUACACAUAUAUCCUGUUCUCUGGAGAACCCUAAUAUAGACUGAUGCUUUUUAAAAAAGCAGUAAAAAUGAAUUUCUACAAAAAGGAUCAUAUACUUAAAACUGUAGAAACAUCAAAUUAUUAUGAGUUCCUAAAUGCUUGUUUUCAGUUUUCAUAUUUUGCCAGAUUUUUUUUUGUGAUAAAAAAGAGGUUGUGGAACACAGAAUGAGUUUUAUUAGCAUUGAACUAAU